rnacentral:rRNA from 1 species
GUGGGGAAUCUUCCGCAAUGGACGAAAGUCUGACGGAGCGACGCCGCGUGAGUGAAGAAGGCCUUCGGGUCGUAAAGCUCUGUCAUCAGGGACGAACGGCCGGUGGAGUGGAAAGCCACCGGAUUGACGGUACCUGAGAAGGAAGCCACGGCUAACUACGUGCCAGCAGCCGCGGUAAUACGUAGGUGGCAAGCGUUGUCCGGAAUUAUUGGGCGUAAAGCGCGCGCAGGUGGGAUCUUAAGUCCAUUUUGAAAGUUCGGAGCUCAACUCCGUGAUGGGAUGGAAACUGGGAUUCUUGAGUACCGGAGAGGAAAGCGGAAUUCCCCGUGUAGCGGUGAAAUGCGUAGAUAUGGGGAGGAACACCAGUGGCGAAGGCGGCUUUCUGGACGGUGUCUGACACUGAGGCGCGAAAGCCAGGGGAGCGAACGGGAUUAGAAACCCUAGUAGUCC